UCCCUGGUGGUCUAGUGGAUAAGACUCCUCACUCUCAGUGAAGGGGGCCCAGGUUCGAUCCCUGGUCAGGGAA
rnacentral:tRNA from 1 species